rnacentral:rRNA from 1 species
GACGAACGCUGGCGGCGUGCUUAACACAUGCAAGUCGAACGAAGAGCGAUGGAAGCUUGCUUCUAUCAAUCUUAGUGGCGCACGGGUGAGUAACGCGUAAUCAACCUGUCCUUCAGAGGGGGACAACAGUUGGAAACGACUGCUAAUACCGCAUACGAUCUAAUCUCGGCAUCGAGGAUAGAUGAAAGGUGGCCUCUACAUGUAAGCUAUCACUGAAGGAGGGGAUUGCGUCUGAUUAGCUAGUUGGAGGGGUAACGGCCCACCAAGGCGAUGAUCAGUAGCCGGUCUGAGAGGAUGAACGGCCACAUUGGGACUGAGACACGGCCCAGACUCCUACGGGAGGCAGCAGUGGGGAAUCUUCCGCAAUGGACGAAAGUCUGACGGAGCAACGCCGCGUGAGUGAUGACGGCCUUCGGGUUGUAAAGCUCUGUUAAUCGGGACGAAAGGCCUUCUUGCGAAUAGUGAGAAGGAUUGACGGUACCGGAAGAGAAAGCCACGGCUAACUACGUG